AGUCUUGUCGCUUACGCACAUAGCGUGCGCCCUCUGCUGCGCGGGUCUCGCUGGGAAAUGUAGUUCCAUGGCUCCAGCGGUCCGAAGCCGCGCCCCAGCUUGGACUACCUGCCCCACAAUGCUUCGCGACUGGCGGUGCAAAUCUUCGGCGACAACCUCGCGCGUCAGCAAGUGCGGCGCGAGUAGCCUGCAACCGAGUUCUAUAACGUCUGUAUACCUUGGGGAGGUGGAUGAAUCCCAGGGGUUUUUCUGUCAGCCCACAUAUCCUAGAAAGAGGUAUUGGUCCCGGCCCUGUUGUUUUUCCCAGCAGUAAAAGAACCUGGCGGUGGACCAGACCUCAGGGUGGUGGCUCUUUUGGAGACGUCAGGACAAGUACGCGACGGUACCCCCCCCCCGCAAAAAAAAACAAAUCCAGCGUCGUCGAAUCCUUUCGACUCACAGUGACCCCAUAGAGUUUCCCAGGCUAUAAAUCUCUAGGGAAGCAAGACUGUCAUAUCUUUCUUCUCCGGAGCCGCUAGUGGCUUGGUACUUGGGGAGAUGAAAGGAAAGCAAGCAGAGAGAUGGGGACCACAUACCACCAAGAAAGCAGCACCAGGAGCACAGCGCGUCCUUUGGACACGGAGUUCCUGCGCUUGAGAAGCUCCUUGACCAGGGGAAGAUUGAGGCCAAGGACCUUCCUCCAGAGCCAACAGAGAGAGAAUGCCUUCCCCUGGAUCUGACGCCUUGAAUUUGGACUUGUAACCUAUUAGACUGUGAGAAAAUAAAUUUCUCUUUGUUAAAGCCAUCCACUUGUGGUAUUUCUGUUAUAGCAGCACUAGAUGACUAACACAGAAUUUGGUACCGAGAGAGUGGGGUACUGCCCUAACAGAUACCUAAAAUGUGGAAGCGGUUUUGAAACUGAAAGGAUAGAGUUGCGACAGCAGCAGAGGACCAGUGCAGCAGAGAACCUGCAGUGGCAGAGAAGCACCAACGGCAGAGAACCAGCAGCAGCAGAACCGGGAGACCAGCGCCAGACAGCGAUGGAGCCCACCCACGGAGUGAAAGAGCUGAGUGCCUGAGAGAUGCAGGCAGGUAGCCUGAGGAGCCAAGAGGCCAAGAAACCAGGAAGCAGAAGCUGAAGAGAAGAAGAACACAAGAAGCCAAGCUGCCUCAGUCUCAAGAGGUAUGGCCAUAACCUCAGGGGUUUCAAAGGGUGGAGACUUGGCCUCUGGUGUUUCUAAGGGUGGAGUUACCACUCAGAUGGACCAGGAGAAUGAUAUGUCUAAAGCCGAGGGAGCACAGUUGCUGUCCCAGUGGGCCUGGAAGGUGGAGCUGAAGCCUAGGGCUGAGGGGUGUCGGCUCAAAGUCCAGAGAGUGUGGCUAAUACCUAGAGUCUAGAGGGCAGGGCCAUUGUGUAAACUGAGAGAACAGAGGAUUAUUUUCAAAGCCUUGAGGGCUAAUGUAAUGUGUUCUGCUGACUUGCUUGGUGCCUGUUAUGCCUUCUUUCCCUCCAGUUUCUCCCAUUUGUAAUGGAAAUGUCUAGCUUGUGCCUGUUCUGCCAUUGUACCUUUGGAAGCAGAUAAACUUGUAUUCCAGAUUUCACAGAUGAAGAAGAAUUUUUGGAUUUUGGACUUGGAGUUAAGACUUUUGCUAUGAUAUGAUGGGAUGAAUAUGUUGUACAUGUUGCAAGAAUGUGAUUUUUGGGGGGCCAAAGGGUGGAAUGUUAUGGAUUGGAUUGUGUCCCCCUCAAAAUGUGUAUAUUAAGCUGAUUUAAGUCAUGAUUCCCUGUAUUCUGUGGUUGUCCUCCAUUUUGUGAUUGUAAUUUUGUUAAAGAGGAUUAGGGUUGGAUUGUAACACCCUUACCAGGUUACAUCCCCGAUCCAAUGUAAAGGGCGUUUCCCUGGGACAUGGCCUUCACCACCUUUUAUCUCUCAAGACAUAAAAGGAAAGGGAAGCAAGCAGAGAGUUGGGAACCUCAUACCACCAAGAAAGCAGUACCAGGAGAAAAGUGCAUCCUUUCGACAUGGGGUCCCCGCGCCUGAGAAGUGCCUUGACCGGGGAAAGAUUGAGGACAAGGACCUUCCUCCAAAGCCAACAGAGAGAGAAAACCUUCCCCUGGAGCCGACACCCUGAAUUUGGACUUGUAACCUACUAGACUGUGAGAAAAUAAAUUUCUCUUUGUUAAACUUGUGGUAUUUCUCUUGUAGCAGUACUAGAUGACUAAGACAACGGAGUACACAGUAACAUCCAGUAGGUAGAGGCCAGGGAUGUUGCUAAACAUCCACAGGGUAUCCAACACAUACAAAUGUCGAUAGUGACCAAAUGUCAACGGUGCCGAGGUUGAGAAACCUCCCCUUAGAGAGUCCUCAGGUGGAAGAUGAUGGGGGGCUUAUCUACCCUAUACAGCUUGUUUCACCUGCUUCAUCUAUACCCAGAACCCCAUGGGAUCAGUCUCCUCUAAACCUAUGUUGUCACCAAGGAACAUUUCCCUCCACCCACUCCUGUUAGUCUCUCUUCCCCACAGCACCCCCAGGAGCUUAGCUCUUCUCUUUGGUCAAGAAUGUCACUCAGUCCCAUCCGUUUUUUCUCUGGAUAGAACCGAAAGAUGCUUCAGAUCCAUGUGGUAGGGGAAGAAGAGGAUGAAGGAAACCAACCUGUCCCAGUCUGGCCCCAGGGAGCAGUCCUUUCCCCACUGUCAAACUGACACCUCUGGCCCUGGCACCUGCGCUAUUACCCCCAGGAGCCUCUGUCUCAGCUCAGCUUGCAUGGCAUCAGUGAAAGGAUGGACUUGUGUCCCACCCCACAAAGGCAAGGGAGGAAGAAAAUAACCUGUCCUGCUAUUUCAGUAUGUAAAUGACUUCUCCAGAGGCCCCAGAGGGGCACUUUCUAAGACUGGACCAUACAUUUUAGCAGUGGACCUUCACACGACUGUCUCCCUUGCCUCACCCUGGUCUCUGCCCCCUCAGAGGUCUUCUAUGAUGGAUUAAUAUAGUACCACUGCCCCAAUCCUCAGUAGCCCAAACCCCCCUCAUCCCUUCUCAUCACCCUACUGUACUCUUACUUCACCUUGGAAAGUGAGCUUUUUCUUGACUUAUUGCCUGUACCCCCUCCUAGAAUAUAAGCACAGCAGUUACAGUUCCGG